rnacentral:rRNA from 1 species
GACGAACGCUGGCGGCGUGCUUAACACAUGCAAGUCGAACGAUGAAGCCGGAGCUUGCUCUGGUGAAUUAGUGGCGAACGGGUGAGUAACACGUGAGUAACCUGCCCUUGACUCUGGGAUAACUGCUAGAAAUGGUAGCUAAUACCGGAUACGACCCUCGGAGGCAUCUCCAGGGGGUGGAAAGAAUCUCGGUCAAGGAUGGACUCGCGGCCUAUCAGCUAGUUGGUGAGGUAACGGCUCACCAAGGCGACGACGGGUAGCCGGCCUGAGAGGGUGACCGGCCACACUGGGACUGAGACACGGCCCAGACUCCUACGGGAGGCAGCAGUGGGGAAUAUUGCACAAUGGGCGCAAGCCUGAUGCAGCAACGCCGCGUGAGGGACGACGGCCUUCGGGUUGUAAACCUCUUUUAGUAGGGAAGAAGCGAAAGUGACGGUACCUGCAGAAAAAGCACCGGCUAACUACGUGCCAGCCGCCGCGGUAA